rnacentral:rRNA from 1 species
AUUGAACGCUGGCGGCAGGCCUAACACAUGCAAGUCGAGCGAGCGGCGGACGGGUGAGUAAUGUAUGGGGACUGCCCGAUAGAGGGGGAUAACUACUGGAAACGGUAGCUAAUACCGCAUACUAUCGGAUAACCCAUAUGGGAUUAGCUAGUAGGUGAGGUAAUGGCUCACCUAGGCGACGCUCCCUAGCUGGUCUGAGAGGAUGAUCAGGCGACCUGGGACUUGGGAACGGCCCGAGCGCCUACGGAGGCAGCAGGGGGGAAGAUUGGACAAUGGGCGAAAGGCUGAUGCAGCCAUGCCGCGUGUAUGAAGAAGGCCCUAGGGUUGUAAAGUACUUUCAGUCGGGAGGCGUUACCGACAGAAGAAGCGCCGGCUAACUCCGUGCCAGCAGCCGCGGUAAUAC